GUGGAUUUGGAGUCCUCAACUCCAAUCAUUAGUAAUAAACUCAUUAAUAGUCAUAAUUGGUAUUUAAUUGCUAGAUCUGAUUGGUGACCCGAUUUAAUUUCACUGGAAAGCACAGGUGGUCCAGAAUCGAUAAAGCGAAGCCAUUUGCAGGCAACUUUUCAAGCAGAAGGGAAAGUACUUUUGUUAUAUUUGCAGACAUGUGUCUAACACUUUUUUUUUUUUCUUUUUGUAAACUAUCUAAGAAUAAACAUUACAGAUCUGGAUUUUAAUUUCUCCAGAUGGGAUCAUAAAGUACCUAGUAAUAUAUAUAUAUAUAAAAUAGAAUUCAGGACACAUGGCUGCUGUUCACACUGAAAGCCGAAAAGAAACUUAACGCGAAAGCAGAAAGAACUGAACCGUUAGUGGAAUCGAAUAACUGAGCAAGUUCACUUUAUUCCUUCGCUGGAAGAGGGUCGGCGGAGGGAAAGUUUCCUGAGUCUUUGAAGAGCGACGCGGCAGCGCGGGCCAGACUUUCCCACGCGCUGCUCGCCUUGGCUCUCGUCUGGGGGGGGGGGGGUCCCGACCUCCAGUCCUCGGCCGACCCCAUCACUGCCCCCCUCCACUGCUGUGUUCGGGGACUGCAUUUCAACCCCGCUCCCCUUCCAGAAACCUACCGGAGAACUUUCUCAGCCUGGGCGCCUCCUCGCCUCGCCCUCCCCACGCCUCCACCCUCCUUGCGCGGUGCCGCGAGCUCUGGACUCACCCGGCGCGGUUCUUCCACUCGAUACACAGACAGGAAACCGGCCUUAUUCUGGGCAAAAUCUGAAACCACUUUUUAUCAACCACCAUCAAAGACAAGAGGGCAGACUUAGGGCUGCGAGCCCAGGAGUCCGCUUCUUUGCAGAAAACGGGGUCUGGCGGAAGGGGGUAGCGGCGAGAAAGCCUUCCUCCGACCGCGGGCCCGGCUUUCUUAUGGAAAUGAACCCCACGUCCGGCUCACCCCGAGCCCGACUCCUCGUCCCCAGCCCCCUCUCUCCCUGACCCCGUCCUCCCGCUAAUCCCCCCAGCCCCUCCCAGCCUCGCUCUUUCUCUCCGUGGGAAGACAAGUGUUUACGGCGCCGGCAACCGCGCGCCCGGGGACGUGGCCCGCGUGUGCCGCGGGAGCCCGUUCGUGUCCGCCGGAGCCGGCGACCGACAUGAAAUAUUCAUAGGGGAGCGCCACUCCCUUAAAGGAGAACCUACCCGGCGGGAAGGUUCCCAGCCAAGGGAAGGCACAAAGGACCGCUCCGCUCCUGCACUUCCUCGAUUUCGGAGAAACACAUCCCUUUUCCAAGGCAGUGCACGCUCACGCGGACAUUAAGGAGAGAACUAGGAGAUGGAACCUCUUCAUCGUUAAAUCCCUUUGCUCGGAGGAUGUGGGAGAAGAGGUGAACUCGGUGGGGGAGGGAAAGUGCGCUCCCUGAUCACUAGUUAAACAGUUAUUUUAAAGUUGACUGUUUCAUCUUACGCCCUGUGCUCCCCAAGGGCUUAAAAAAAAAAAAGUGGCUGUUUGACUUCACAUGGGCUCCACCAGGGUUGGAGACUGGCGAUAAAGUUUGCCCUUGUGUGGUUUGAAACACAUGCACGCACUAAGUUUAUUAAACCUUACACUGAACGACAAUUUCCAUUUGAACGAUUUAAAAACAAAAUCUGCACCUGCACCUUGCUUUUAAAAAGAGAACACCAGGUUUGCUGAAAACUGGCGCUUGCUCUGGCCCAUUCACAGUGUAGAGAGAGGUCUGGAACUUAGCGGAAGCAGAAGCAAGCGGAUGCUCUGCCCUCUGCGGUGCAUCUUGGCUAGAAGAACCAGUUGCUGUCACCGAAUCUUUUCUGCGUUGUACAAUGACCCUUCCCGCAAAAGGCCGUCCUGCCUGCCCUCCGAGGGGCUGCGCCGAAAAGACAAAAGUGAGAAGAAAAGUCUCUUUCAGCCACCUGGAGGCAAGCAGUUUCAAAAACUGAGAACUUGUAAGCAGUAAAGAUUAACCAGAUACUGGCUGAUUAGUAGCUGGUUGCCUGGCUGAAUUGGCUUCUUUCCGGUUGUGCAAUCAAAUCCAUUCUGAUCUGUUCUCCUCUCCAUACCGAGGAGUGGAUGCCAGAGCAGAGAAAAGAGAGAAAACCUCUUCACUGUUUGCUGUUUUCUCCUAACACUCAGGGUGUGUUUUGCUGGCACAGUCCCCUGCAAGCUUCAUGGCCAUCACCGUGGUCCCAGCGCCAGGACCACCUGCCCACCUCUUCUCAGGGUGGGGGUGGGGGGAGCUGAGAUGGUUUACGUCUGUCCUGAGCCUGAGCUGGGUGCUGUUCCACUGGAUAAGCCAAUAGAAGGCUGUCCUUGGCCUCGAGGAUGAGACUAUGGAAUUAGGCUCAGUUUACUGCUAAAAUGUUCUAAAAAGUUGAUGAGUCAAAGAUGGUGUCUCAAAAGCAGCUUAUUACAUUAAUAGAGUGAAAAUAUUAUUUCUCAUGGACUUUGGACUCUUAGGAGAUGGCCAUCUAUGUUUUUCACAUAUAGCCAUCUUUUAUUUGCAUAUAACUACCUUUUUUGUCCAUAUACAAUGGUUAUAUAGAGGUUGAAUGUACCAAAUAUACAUAUGCCACAUGUACACACACACACACACACACACACACACAAUUGGCUUUUUAAUCAGUUGCCUUGACCACCUUCAGACAUAGCCUUAGGUGUGUCCAUAAACACUAAUAAAUUUUCCUGAAUUCCUAUCUUGAGUAAAGCUUUUAACUGUGACCAUUUGUUGGGAGGGUUCAAGUGGAGGGCCCCAGGCCACUCAAAGGAAUCGAUUUGCUUUCCAGUCACCUGAGUUGGUGCUGUGUGAACACAUCCUAAGGAAACAAGACUGGUCCCUUGGCCUUGGUCUGUGGACUUAGGCAUGGCCAGUCUUCUGCCUGGGAUAUCCAUCGUUAGACAAUUGUCAUCACUCUCUCUACCCCACUGCGUCUCAUGGUUGCUCUUCUUUUCUUCCCUCUUUGCAAAUGGGGCAAGAAGAAGAAAUGAAACCCACACUUGUAGGGAAAGUAAUGAAGCAAGUUGAUGUUUUGAUUAUUGUCUAGUACGUAGCAUUAUCUACUCACCAAAAGACUAGUAGAGAUGACAAAAUCUGUUAAUGAAUGGGUUUCUAAGAAAUAUAUAGAAUAUUUCAAAGUAAAAGGUUGUUUGUUUGCUUGUUUUUCAAGUCUUACUUGAGUUUCAAUUUUCAGUUAUUGACCUGAUUUAAUGAGUGCCAUCUUUCUGGCCAAACAGGAAACCUGGAUGUUUUUAUUUACCCUUUUCUUCCCUUAGCCUUGGCUAAAUACUCUGCAAAUACA